rnacentral:lncRNA from 1 species
AGAUAUGAUUUGAUGUUUAUGAUGCGAUUUAGGACACUCUUUGAGGCAACAGAUGCAGAUUAUGUUGAGCCUAGCUAUUCAAAGGUGCUGCUACCGAAUUAUAGUUGCUGAAAGGUUCCCCAAAUUUCAAAUUUAUUUAUCCAGUUACUCAGCAAAGGCUACAUUUAAAAGAAAGUGCUAGUGCUCGCAUAACUAAGAAACCAAAAGGGCUAACAUUCUUAUAAACUAAGAGAUUUGAGCAAGUAUUCUUGCUUCCAUAGCAGCACACAUCACUAAUACAACGUCUCCACCUUACUAUUUCACAAAAUUCUCCCUCCCUCGCAAGGUGGCGUACAAAGCCCUUAUUGCCUGAGCUCAGGGCGGACAAAAUCAGCAUCUGCUGUGACAGAAAUAUCAACGGUGGGUCUCAGUUGAGCACACACUUCAAUAGCUCCGUGUAUCGGAUCUGAUAGGAAGUUGCUGAUAAGAUCCC